UACGUAGGGGGCAAGCGUUGUUCGGAUUUAUUGGGCGUAAAGAGCGUGUAGGCGGCCAGUUAGGUCAGCUGUGAAAACUCGAGGCUCAACCUCGAGACGUCGGUUGAAACCAUCUGGCUAGAGUCCGGAAGAGGAGAGUGGAAUUCCCGGUGUAGCGGUGAAAUGCGCAGAUAUCGGGAGGAACACCGGUGGCGAAGGCGGUUCUCUGGGCCUGACCUGACGCUGAGGAGCGAAAGCGUGGGGAGCGAACAGG
rnacentral:rRNA from 1 species